rnacentral:lncRNA from 1 species
CUCAUCUGCACAGUGCAAUGGGUGGAGCGUAUCCAUGGGUUACCGGACGGGACAAGGGUGCAGGAGCAAGCAGAGUAACCCUCUAGACCUUUUUUAAAGGAAAGACAAGCCAACUGCUGGUCUACAUUUACUUAAUGAAGAACAAAAACACCUCUGUCCAGGUUGGCAACAGUGGCAGAUGUCUUUUCCACUAACGUACCCCGUGGACGAUAUGAUACAUGGCUGGCAUCGACUCCCCCAACCUGGGACGGUUGACCUUCGGGCCUUCCUGGACUCUGAGCAGCGGAGGAGAGAUCUGGAUGUCAGUCUGGCUCAGGUCCAAAAUGCCCUGCAGGAACAGAGGGUCAGAAUGCUCCAGAGAAUGGGCCCAGGGAGCCGACAUAAACUACCCCAGAUACUUGUUUUGAAUCUUGGGCAGAUCAAUCGACCAGUAAACCUCCAUCCUAGUCUGUUAUCAGAGAACAUCUACAUCCCACCAUAUGGUGACCUUUACACAAGAGUGGGCAGGCUAGAGAUUGACUCAGAGAUCAUUAGCGCCCAACUGGACCAGGUUCUCUGUUCUAGGGGAAGGUGUCUCUACAGGAAUGGACCCUCACCCCAACAGGACAGCUUGACUCCUGAGCGAGACAACCUUGAGCGUCUGCUGGAGGAAUCCAGGGCCCAGCAGCAGCUGAUGGAGCAGAAGAGGGAGGCCCAGAUAGCAGCCCUUCACUCCCAGCUGUACCAGGCACGCUCCAGCCUCCAGGAGACCCACAGAGAGACACUGGCCACACAGGCAGAGCUACAUGGCAGCAAGCAGAUAAAUGAGUCCCUGCUACAGGAGGUGGCGUCUCUCAGACGGAGGCCCGGGGCUGCGGAGGAGCGGGCCUCCCUGAUGGAGAGUGACGGACGCCUGCUCAGGGCUCGCAUAGCAGCACUGGAGACUGAGCGGGAGGAGCUGCUUCAACAAGGAGACCUCGCCACAGGGAGACGACGCUCCUCAGCCUUUGGGAGCGCUUGGGAAACGGAUGUGGAAGAUUCCGAAAAGUCGGAGGGGUUGAGGGAGGAGAGUACCGCAUAUGAGAUGGGGGAAGUGGAGGAGGAGGAGAGGGUACAAGGGAAGGAUUUGUCUGUGGACUUAAGACUUAAGAUCCAUGAGGUGCCGCUCUCUAAGCCUGGCCUACAGAUAAAGGAAGAGAACCAGGACGGAGAGAAGGGGCUGGGAUUGGUCGAUCGCUGGAAUCCAUGGCAGCACGAGCCAAUAGAAGCCAAUCAAAUGACGGCGCUGGUCAUAGAGCUGCAGCAGCUGAGAACGGCCUGUGAAGAGACAUCAUCAACACUACCGGUCUCCCCCAAGGACCAGAGGGCCAGAGAGUGGAUGUGAAAGAGCUGCUCUGCUCGAGGACUGUGUGGGGGAGAUGGAUUGGGAGGGGCUGGCUUUCCUGGAGAGAGACUGUGGAGUUCUUCGGGUGGUACCUCCAGGAUCAUUGGCAAGAAGUAACCCACCACAUUCACACUGAUCCUUGACUAUGUAGGCCCACAUUUCCAUAUUCUCCACAAUCAUGUACGCUUUCUUUUACAAAAACACGUCUGUUUGCGUAUGCAAUAAAUUAUGUCUGAAUCAAAACGGCAGGAAGCGAUCCGCUGAGGCCCUGCGUAUUAAAUUGUGGUCUCAAGUACGUCCUCAAGAACUCCUUUCAUGUUUACCUGACAUCAAUCACCCGCAUUGUGAACUGUGUACAACAUUUAGUUUGUCAGUUUAAAAUAAAUAUUGGACUGACUCUAAUACAACUCCACUAUCCCUAGGCCUUUAUGGGUAUACCAGUUGGACAGACAAAUACCCCUCAAGGAUCUCACCCCCUCCUAUCCUUUACUUGUGUUAUGCCUGUACACAAGCUUAGUUGGAAAAAGGCAGGUAUUUUUCAGGCUCCAUUGUAUAGGCUAACCUGUCAAAACAUAUUCCAAAGAUUACACAAUUUACAGUUGGCCUGCAUGCACAUUUUGUCUAAACAGCGAACAAAUAUUUACUGUGGCUGGGUGUGUGGAGGAAUUAGUCACUUCCUUGAAUGGGUCUUGCUCAAUGUUAGACCUAAUGGUCAUUGCAUACUGUGUGGUUUGCUCUUGUGAUUGGUUUGAUACCCCUCCCUCACAGUACAGGAGGUGAUUUCCUGCAUACUUUCAUCAUCUGAGUCUGACUUGCCUGUACAUCACAGCUAGCAAAUGUAAAUUAUGGUGGUGUGCCCUUUUGUGGACAAGUUAUUCAUUUUUUUAUUAAUCAAUGUGACUUCUUAAUCAAUACAGUUAAAUUACUUCUUUAUUUCACAUAAAAUAAGAAUAGAGUAGAUAUUAUCAAUCAAGGACAUUGUCCUUGCUCAUGGGUACAAAAUAUGUAAAAUAAAUGAUCAGCGUAGGUGUUGACUGCUGUGAUUGUUCACACUGGGGUCAAAAUCCCCUUCAACUGCUAAGAUCAAACGACUUGACCCACACGUGCCAGUUCAUCCCCACCACCAUCUCAAAGGGGACAUUUUUUUUCUUCCCCCAGAUCCUUGGCUAUCUCACUCUGGGGUGCCAGCAGCCUGAAUGGCAAGAGGACCAUUACUAUUUAGAACCAGGGGUUGUGUUGAGCGGCGCAACUUUACAAAAUGGAGGAAGACUAGUGACAUCAAACUUUUAAAUUGAAUGACCUGCUGUUCAAGUUAAAAGGUCAUGCCACCUGGAGGUAUAAAGAGGCGUUUGUGACAAUACUGACCUGCACAUUUGGUCUAUUCCUCUUGGUAUGUCCCUCGUAGGAGAGUGACGCUUGCUCACUCCCCCCUUCCCCCCUAAAUUCACCUUGACGAUGUCACCUGACUUGGCAGUUACGAUGCCAAACUCUUUCCCCUUUCGCUGGAACAUACUGGGAGAGAAAAUAAGCAGUGAAUCCACACUUGAGUAGAACCGUGUAACAUAGGUUAGUACAUAAUGGAGCAGGCAUAAACGGUUCAUUCUGGUCAUUUAAAAAAAAUUGACUAGUCUUAGUCGUUUUGACUAAAAUAUUAAGUCUGUCACAUUUUUGUCAUGAAUAAUGAUUUAGUC